UUUUUAGGUCUACAAAACAACCAUAAAUCUUUUUCUUUUUAUAAUUUAUAUAUUUAUUAAACAGAGUCUUUACAAUAAAGACACCAUCUGAAGUCCUACUAUUCUUCUUAAAGCCUAGUUGAUGGUGACAUAUAUUAUUUUCAAAUAAAGUAAGUAAUCUACAAUUUAUAACCAUAUUAAAUAAUUUACUUAGACAGCUCAUCAGAGAAAUUCCUCUGUAGUUUGAAGGAUCAAGAUGAUCCCCACUUUUAAAUAAUGGAAUUAUAAAUGAUUUAUUCCAAUUUUCAGGAUAUAGAGAGGUAGAUAAUAUAAGGUUAAAAUAUUUAGCUAUGGCUGUUAACAUUACAGAACUACUAUGUUUUAUAAUUUCAUAACAUAUUUUAUCUGGUCCACAACUUUUCCCACUUUUUAAUCUUUUAAUUUGUGUUUUUAUUUCAGAUAUAUUUAUUGGUGUAUCACUUUCUUUUGAUGUUAGCAACUUCUCUGUUUUGCAUAAUUCUUCAAAAAUACUUUUCUCAAAAUUCUUAUCUAUCUUUUCAGGUUUACACUGAUUUUUAAAGUGAUCUGCAAACUGACUUAAAUCUAGCAUAUUAUCAUCAUUCUUGUCCUUAUUAAUUUUUAUUGUUCUUAAUAGUUUCCAAAAUUCCUUGCUUUCAUUUGGUGACAUGUUGUCUAGUUUAUUCAGAACAUUAAGUUUAAAUUCUCUUUUUUUAAGUUUAGAAACUGUUUUUA
rnacentral:lncRNA from 1 species